GAUGAACGCUAGCGACAGGCUUAACACAUGCAAGUCGAGGGGCAGCAUAGAAGUAGCAAUACUUUGGUGGCGACCGGCGCACGGGUGAGUAACGCGUAUGCAACCUACCUAUCAGAGGGGAAUAACCCGGCGAAAGUCGGACUAAUACCGCAUAAAACAGGGGCACCGCAUGGUGAUAUUUGUUAAAGAGAUUCGCUGAUAGAUGGGCAUGCGUUCCAUUAGGUAGUUGGUGAGGUAACGGCUCACCAAGCCGACGAUGGAUAGGGGAACUGAGAGGUUGGUCCCCCACACUGGUACUGAGACACGGACCAGACUCCUACGGGAGGCAGCAGUGAGGAAUAUUGGUCAAUGGGCGAGAGCCUGGACCAGCCAAGUCGCGUGAAGGAAGAAGGAUCUAUGGUUCGUAAACUUCUUUUGCAGGGGAAUAAAGUGCAGGACGUGUCCUGUUUUGUAUGUACCCUGAGAAUAAGGAUCGGCUAACUCCGUGCCAGCAGCCGACGG
rnacentral:rRNA from 1 species